GAGGAUGUAGCUCAGUGGUAGAGCACAUGGUUAGUUAGUGAGCCUGGAGCCCUGGGUGCCAACCCCAGCAUCCCCU
rnacentral:tRNA from 1 species